ACUCGUACCUUUUGCAUCAUGAUUUAGCUAGAAAACCUCAAGCAAAGAGCACUUUAGUUUGAUUCCCCGAAACUACGUGAGCUACUCCAAGACAGCCUAACAAUAGGGCAAACCCGUCUCUGUGGCAAAAGAGUGGGAAGAGCUUUGAGUAGAGGUGACAGACCUACCGAACCUAGUUAUAGCUGGUUGCCUGAGAAAUGAAUAGAAGUUCAGCCUCUCGGAUUCUUCCCUCACCCUUGUCUUCCUCCCCCCUGACAGCCAAAAGAAGCCGAAAGAGUUAGUCAAAGGGGGUACAGCCCCUUUGACACAAGAUACAACUUUUCCAGGAGGGUAAAGAUCACAUUCAAAUAUUAAGGUAAAAUGCUUUGGUGGGCCUAAAAGCAGCCACCCCCAUAGAAUGCGUUAAAGCUCAGACAUACCUAUCACCCCCGAUCCUGACAAUUUCAUCUUAACCCCCUAACCCUACCAGGCCGUCCCAUGCAAGCAUGGGAGCGACCAUGCUAAUAUGAGUAAUAAGAGAGCAUUAGCCUCUCUCCUUGCACAAGUGUAACUCGGAACGGACCCCCCACCGAACCUUAACGACCCCAAACAAAGAGGGCCCUGAAUAACAGACCCGCCAACUAGAAAAAUACUCAGCAAUCAAAUCGUUAGACCCACACUGGUGUGCCUUCAAGGAAAGACUAAAAGAAAAAGAAGGAACUCGGCAAACACAUAAAGCCUCGCCUGUUUACCAAAAACAUCGCCUCUUGCAAAAUUAACGAAUAAGAGGUCCUGCCUGCCCUGUGACCAUGAGUUCAACGGCCGCGGUAUUUUGACCGUGCAAAGGUAGCGCAAUCACUUGUCUUUUAAAUGAAGACCCGUAUGAAUGGCAAGACGAGGGCUUAGCUGUCUCCUUUUUCAAGUCAAUGAAAUUGAUCUUCCCGUGCAGAAGCGGGAAUUCUUCCAUAAGACGAGAAGACCCUAUGGAGCUUCAGACACCAAGACAGACCACGUCAAACCUCCCUGACAAAGGACUGAACUAAGUGGACUCUGUCCUAAUGUCUUUGGUUGGGGCGACCACGGGGAAUCACAAAACCCCCGCGUGGAAUGGGAGCACCUCUGCUCCUACAACUGAGAGCUUCCGCUCUAAUAAACAGAAUUUCUGACCAACAAGAUCCGGCAACGCCGAUCAACGAACCGAGUUACCCUAGGGAUAACAGCGCAAUCCUCUUUUAGAGCCCAUAUCGACAAGAGGGUUUACGACCUCGAUGUUGGAUCAGGACAUCCUAAUGGUGC
rnacentral:rRNA from 1 species